AUGAACGCUAGCGGCAGGCUUAACACAUGCAAGUCGAGGGGCAGCGGGGAGUAGCAAUACUCCGCCGGCGACCGGCGCACGGGUGCGUAACGCGUAUGCAACCUACCUUUAACAGGGGCAUAACACUGAGAAAUUGGUACUAAUUCCCCAUAACAUUCGAGAAGGCAUCUUCUUGGGUUAAAAACUCCGGUGGUUAAAGAUGGGCAUGCGUUGUAUUAGCUAGUUGGUGAGGUAACGGCUCACCAAGGCAACGAUACAUAGGGGGACUGAGAGGUUAACCCCCCACAUUGGUACUGAGACACGGACCAAACUCCUACGGGAGGCAGCAGUGAGGAAUAUUGGUCAAUGGACGCAAGUCUGAACCAGCCAUGCCGCGUGCAGGAAGACGGCUCUAUGAGUUGUAAACUGCUUUUGUACUAGGGUAAACGCUUCUACGUGUAGGAGCCUGAAAGUAUAGUACGAAUAAGGAUCGGCUAACUCCGUGCCAGCAGCCGCGGUAAUACGGAGGAUCCAAGCGUUAUCCGGAUUUAUUGGGUUUAAAGGGUGCGUAGGCGGUUUGAUAAGUUAGAGGUGAAAUACCGGGGCUCAACUCCGGAACUGCCUCUAAUACUGUUGAACUAGAGAGUAGUUGCGGUAGGCGGAAUGUAUGGUGUAGCGGUGAAAUGCUUAGAGAUCAUACAGAACACCGAUUGCGAAGGCAGCUUACCAAACUAUAUCUGACGUUGAGGCACGAAAGCGUGGGGAGCAAACAGGAUUAGAUACCCUGGUAGUCCACGCUGUAAACGAUGAUUACUAGGUGUGGGGGGACUGACCCCUUCCGUGCCGCAGUUAACACAAUAAGUAAUCCACCUGGGGAGUACGGCCGCAAGGUUGAAACUCAAAGGAAUUGACGGGGGCCCGCACAAGCGGAGGAACAUGUGGUUUAAUUCGAUGAUACGCGAGGAACCUUACCCGGGCUUGAAAGUUAGUGACGAUUCUGGAAACAGGAUUUCCCUUCGGGGCACGAAACUAGGUGCUGCAUGGUUGUCGUCAGCUCGUGCCGUGAGGUGUCGGGUUAAGUCCCAUAACGAGCGCAACCCCUACCGUUAGUUGCCAUCAGGUCAAGCUGGGCACUCUGGCGGGACUGCCGGUGUAAGCCGAGAGGAAGGUGGGGAUGACGUCAAAUCAGCACGGCCCUUACGUCCGGGGCUACACACGUGUUACAAUGGUAGGUACAGAGGGCCGCUACCCCGCGAGGGGAUGCCAAUCUCGAAAGCCUAUCUCAGUUCGGAUCGGAGGCUGAAACCCGCCUCCGUGAAGUUGGAUUCGCUAGUAAUCGCGCAUCAGCCAUGGCGCGGUGAAUACGUUCCCGGGCCUUGUACACACCGCCCGUCAAGCCAUGGAAGCUGGGGGUGCCUGAAGUUCGUGACCGCAAGGAGCGACCUAGGGCAAAACCGGUGACUGGGGCU
rnacentral:rRNA from 1 species